UGAACGCUAGCGACAGGCUUAACACAUGCAAGUCGAGGGGCAGCAUAAAAGUAGCAAUACUUUGGUGGCGACCGGCGCACGGGUGAGUAACGCGUAUGCAACCUACCUAUCAGAGGGGAAUAACCCGGCGAAAGUCGGACUAAUACCGCAUAAAACAGGGGCACCGCAUGGUGAUAUUUGUUAAAGAAAUUCGCUGAUAGAUGGGCAUGCGUUCCAUUAGGUAGUUGGUGAGGUAACGGCUCACCAAGCCGACGAUGGAUAGGGGAACUGAGAGGUUGGUCCCCCACACUGGUACUGAGACACGGACCAGACUCCUACGGGAGGCAGCAGUGAGGAAUAUUGGUCAAUGGGCGGGAGCCUGAACCAGCCAAGUCGCGUGAAGGAAGAAGGAUCUAUGGUUCGUAAACUUCUUUUGCAGGGGAAUAAAGUGCAGGACGUGUCCUGUUUUGUAUGUACCCUGAGAAUAAGGAUCGGCUAACUCCGUGCCAGCCGCCGC
rnacentral:rRNA from 1 species